rnacentral:miRNA from 1 species
UGAGGCAGGAGAAUUGCUUGAACCCAGGAGGCGGAGGCUGCAGUGAGCCGAGAUUGAGCCAUUGCACUCCAGCCUGGGGUGACAGAGCGAGACUCCAUCUC